rnacentral:rRNA from 1 species
GCAUCGAUGAAGAACGCAGCCAGGUGCGAUAAGUAGUGUGAAUUGCAGAAUUCAGUGAAUCAUCGAAUCUUUGAACGCAAAUGGCGCUCCUGGGUUCUCUCAGGAGCAUGUCUGUCUGAGUGUCGGUU